UUUCUUCAAAAUUUCAGAAAGCAAGCCAACAAAAUAUACCUAACAGAGGCAAAAGAAAGAUGCUCCACCACACGGGCAGCAAACCCUUUAGACAAAUUGCGUGGGAAUUGGGUGGCAAGUCAGGAAAUCCACCUGAUGUGGCAAAAUUGUUUCAUGAAACUCGAAAGAAAGCUAAUGAAACACUAGAUACUAGGGAUCAAGA